rnacentral:rRNA from 1 species
UACAGAGGGGGCAAGCGUUGUUCGGAAUUACUGGGCGUAAAGGGCGCGUAGGCGGCCUGUUAAGUCGAACGUGAAAUCCCCGGGCUCAACCCGGGAACUGCGUCCGAUACUGGCAGGCUUGAAUCCGGGAGAGGGAUGCGGAAUUCCAGGUGUAGCGGUGAAAUGCGUAGAUAUCUGGAGGAACACCGGUGGCGAAGGCGGCAUCCUGGACCGGCAUUGACGCUGAGGCGCGAAAGCCAGGGGGGCAAACGGG